GACAGAGGAUGCAAGCGUUAUCCGGAAUUACUGGGCGUAAAGCGUGCGCAGGCGGUCUGCUAAGAGAGAUGUGAAAUCCCCCGGGCUUAACCUGGGAACUGCGUUUCUAACUGGCAGGCUUGAGUGUGGCAGAGGGGGGGUGGAAUUCCACGUGUAGCAGUGAAAUUCGUAGAUAUUCGGAAGAACACCAGUGGCGAAGGCGGCUCACUGGACGACUGUUGACGCUGAGGUACGAAAGCGUGGGGAGCAAACAGG
rnacentral:rRNA from 1 species